rnacentral:rRNA from 1 species
UACAGAGGGGGCGAGCGUUGUUCGGAAUUACUGGGCGUAAAGGGCGCGUAGGCGGCCUUCUAAGUCGAACGUGAAAUCCCCGGGCUCAACCCGGGAACUGCGUCCGAUACUGGGAGGCUUGAAUCCGGGAGAGGGAUGUGGAAUUCCAGGUGUAGCGGUGAAAUGCGCAGAUAUCAGGAGGAACACCGAUGGCGAAGGCAGGUCUCUGGGCAUUAACUGACGCUGAGGAGCGAAAGCAUGGGGAGCGAACAGG